AUUGAACGCUGGCGGCAGGCCUAACACAUGCAAGUCGAGCGAGCGGCGGCCGGGUGAGGAAUGUCUGGGAAACUGCCUGAUUGAGGGGGAUAACUACUGGAAACGGUCGCUAAUACCGCAUAACAUCAGAGAUGCCCAGAUGGGAUUAGCCAGUAGGUGGGGUAACGGCUCACCUAGGCGACGAUCCCUCGCUGGUCUGAGAGGAUGACCAGCCACACUGGAACUGAGCCACGGUCCAGACUCCUACGGGAGGCAGCAGUGGGGAGUAUUGCACAAUGGGCGCAAGCCUGAUGCAGCCAUGCCGCGUGUGUGAAGAAGGCCUUCGGGGUGUAAGGCUCUUUCAGCGGGGAGGCGUUACCCGCAGAAGAAGCACCGGCUAACUCCGUGCCAGCAGCCGCGGUAAUUC
rnacentral:rRNA from 1 species